ACGAACGCUGGCGGCGUGCCUAACACAUGCAAGUCGAGCGGAGACAGUGAGUAGCUUGCUAUGAGCUGUUUUAGCGGCGGACGGGUGAGUAACGCGUGAGCAACCUUUCCCAGACAGGGGAAUAACACACCGAAAGGUGUACUAAUACCGCAUAAGACCACGGGAUCACAUGGUUCUGGGGUAAAAGAAUUAUCGGUUUGGGGUGGGCUCGCGUCCGAUUAGGUAGUUGGUGAGGUAACGGCCCACCAAGCCGACGAUCGGUAGCCGACCUGAGAGGGUGAUCGGCCACAUUGGGACUGAGACACGGCCCAAACUCCUACGGGAGGCAGCAGUGGGGAAUAUUGGGCAAUGGAGGAAACUCUGACCCAGCAACGCCGCGUGGAGGAAGAAGGUUUUCGGAUCGUAAACUCCUGUCCUUGGAGACGAGUAGAAGACGGUAUCCAAGGAGGAAGCCCCGGCUAACUACGUGCCAGCAGCCGCGGUAAUACGUAGGGGGCAAGCGUUGUCCGGAAUAAUUGGGCGUAAAGGGCGCGUAGGCGGCUCGGUAAGUCUGGAGUGAAAGUCCUGCUUUUAAGGUGGGAAUUGCUUUGGAUACUGUCGGGCUUGAGUGCAGGAGAGGUUAGUGGAAUUCCCAGUGUAGCGGUGAAAUGCGUAGAGAUUGGGAGGAACACCAGUGGCGAAGGCGACUAACUGGACUGUAACUGACGCUGAGGCGCGAAAGUGUGGGGAGCAAACAGGAUUAGAUACCCUGGUAGUCCACGCCCUAAACGAUGUCUACUAGUUGUUGGGGACGAUAGUCCUUGGUAACACAGCUAACGCGUGAAGUAGACCGCCUGGGGAGUACGGUCGCAAGAUUAAAACUCAAAGGAAUUGACGGGGGCCCGCACAAGCAGCGGAGCAUGUGGUUUAAUUCGACGCAACGCGAAGAACCUUACCAGGUCUUGACAUCCACUUAAACUUACAGAGAUGUAAGGUGUGCUUGCACAAAGUGAGACAGGUGGUGCAUGGUUGUCGUCAGCUCGUGUCGUGAGAUGUUGGGUUAAGUCCCGCAACGAGCGCAACCCUUAUCUUCAGUUACUAACGCGUGAAGGUGAGGACUCUGAAGAGACUGCCGGGGACAACUCGGAGGAAGGUGGGGACGACGUCAAAUCAUCAUGCCCCUUAUGACCUGGGCUACACACGUGCUACAAUGGCCACGACAGAGAGAAGCGAAAUCGUAAGGUAGAGCGGAACUCAAAAAAGUGGUCCCAGUUCGGAUUGUGGGCUGCAACCCGCCCACAUGAAGUCGGAGUUGCUAGUAAUCGCGGAUCAGCAUGCCGCGGUGAAUACGUUCCCGGGCCUUGUACACACCGCCCGUCACACCAUGGGAGUUGGGAGUGCCCAAAGCCGGUGAGGCAACCGCAAGGAGCCAGCCGUCUAAGGCAAGACCAAUGACUGGGGUG
rnacentral:rRNA from 1 species